CCUACGGGGGGCAGCAGUGAGGAAUAUUGGUCAAUGGACGCAAGUCUGAACCAGCCAAGUAGCGUGCAGGAUGACGGCCCUCCGGGUUGUAAACUGCUUUUAGUUGGGAAUAAAAGGGGGCUCGUGAGCCCCGUAUUGUAUGUACCAUCAGAAAAAGGACCGGCUAAUUCCGUGCCAGCAGCCGCGGUAAUACGGAAGGUCCGGGCGUUAUCUGGAUUUAUUGGGUUUAAAGGGAGAGUAGGCUGGUUUUUAAGUGAGUUGUGAAAGUAGGUGG
rnacentral:rRNA from 1 species